rnacentral:rRNA from 1 species
UCCGCUCGCUACAGGCUUAACCCAUGUACGUCGAGGGGAACGACUUCUACAGCUUGCUUUUGAUGGGCGUCGACCGGCGCACGGGUGAGUAACGCGUAUCCAACCUGCCCACCACUUGGGGAUAACCUUGCGAAAGUAAGACUAAUACCCAAUGACGUCUCUAGAAGACAUCUGAAAGAGAUUAAAGAUUUAUCGGUGAUGGAUGGGGAUGCGUCUGAUUAGCUUGUUGGCGGGGUAACGGCCCACCAAGGCGACGAUCAGUAGGGGUUCUGAGAGGAAGGUCCCCCACAUUGGAACUGAGACACGGUCCAAACUCCUACGGGAGGCAGCAGUGAGGAAUAUUGGUCAAUGGACGAGAGUCUGAACCAGCCAAGUAGCGUGCAGGAUGACGGCCCUAUGGGUUGUAAACUGCUUUUAUAAGGGAAUAAAGUGAGUCUCGUGAGACUUUUUGCAUGUACCUUAUGAAUAAGGACCGGCUAAUUCCGUGCCAGCAGCCGCGGUAAUACGGAAGGUCCGGGCGUUAUCCGGAUUUAUUGGGUUUAAAGGGAGCGUAGGCCGGAGAUUAAGCGUGUUGUGAAAUGUAGACGCUCAACGUCUGCACUGCAGCGCGAACUGGUUUCCUUGAGUACGCACAAAGUGGGCGGAAUUCGUGGUGUAGCGGUGAAAUGCUUAGAUAUCACGAAGAACUCCGAUUGCGAAGGCAGCUCACUGGAGCGCAACUGACGCUGAAGCUCGAAAGUGCGGGUAUCGAACAGGAUUAGAUACCCUGGUAGUCCGCACGGUAAACGAUGGAUGCCCGCUGUC